rnacentral:lncRNA from 1 species
CGGCUACCAGCGGCUGGGGAUGAGGGAGUGACUGUUCAUGGGCAUGAGGGGAUUUUGGGGAAGUGACAGUGUUCUGGAACUAGAUAGCGGUGGUGUUUGCGUGGCAUCGUGAAGGUACCUAACGUCAGCGAACAGAAUACUUUAAAAUGGUAAAAUGGCUGAUUUUAUAUUAUGUAUAUUUACCACAAUUUAAAAGGAAGGAAGGAAGGAAGGAAGGCAGGCAGGCAGGAGAAGGAGGUAGGAGGGAGGGAAAGAGGGAGGGAGGAAGGAGGGAGGGAAGAAGGAAGGAAGGAAGGAGAAGGGAAGGGAAGGAAGGAAGGAGAAGGGAAAGGAAGGGAAAGUAGAAGGAGGUAGGAGGGAGGGAGGGAGGAAGGAAGGAGGCUUCUUUUGCAGAAAUCAGGAUCUGGCCACGCUGGGUCUUUCGCUGAUCACAGCGGCCCCUGUCCAGCAUUCCUGGCCCCAGUAAGCUUCUGGCGUUUCCAAAGGUGGCAGGAGACUGGGCAGCCGACAUAGCAGGAGGGAACAUCGCGCUCUGCCCUCCCCAUCCCAAGCCCUCUGGCCUGGCCCUGCCCACAGGGUAAAGAGGGAAGUUCCAGGCUGGUGCUGCUGCUGCUGUGGCUGCCAUCCCUUGUCCCUAAGUCUGGGCCCCAGGCCCUGGGUACAGCUCCCUUCCUCACCCUGCCAGGGCCCAUGACCUCCUUCCGUCCUUUCAGGAUUUUGCAGGAAGUGGAAGAGGCGUGUAGAAGGUGCCAGAGGACAGACAGGAAGCCAAUCUCCCCUCUCCUUCCACACGGCCCCAGCAGGGCACCAGAACCAGCAGCCCCCGCCAAAGGCCCUGCCGUCAGCAAAGAGAACUUGCAUCCAGGCCAAACCACCAAAGCUACUGAGUCAAAAAAAUGGAGAAAAACUCCACCUCCCAUCUCCUCGGGCGCCUCAAUUUUCUGCAGUUCCUCCUGCGUCUGUCACACAUUUCGGGAUGGAAGAAAGCACACAGCGGCCAGGAGUUCAAAGGGAACCCAGCGAAGAUGUAAGUCAAGAGAAUUCUCACCCCCAUCCCUCAUCACUCUCACUCUUCCGAGACAAGUGUCACGAUGUGGUGGCUGACAGAGCUUCCCUUUUUGAAGGGCACGGUCUCAGUUCUGCUGGCUCUCAGGCCGGAAGAAGCCGAGGGCGCUGAGUGGGCAGAAGGGGCCCCAGGAAGCCCCUCAGAGGAUGGGAAGUGGCGGGGGACAGGGCCACAGGGCUUGCUGUGACCCGGUAUGACCUCCUUUUCCUCUUGUCCUGACCAGGACAACCGUGUUCAGAGGUGGGUUCAUCUGGCGUACCGGGCUUGCGGCAGAUCCUGCUGUUUCUCCACCCACCCGCCUUUCCCUCUCCUUGUUUCCGAAGGAGAGCCUGCCUCUCGCCCCGAGGUUGAACAUUCCAGCUCCUUGCUCUCCCCGGCAGGAAGCCCCAAUUCUGCCCUGCAGUGGUUGCCUGGACACCCUCGUAACCCAGCUGAGCCUGCACCCCCGGGGCCUGGGCCACUCUGCUGCUCUGUCUUGCACCCUUGACUUCCUUUGAGGGUUGACUCUGGACCCUUAAGCCUCCUCCUUCCUUGCCUGGAGUUUACCCACCUAGGCCGGCCGCCUGGCAAGGACUGGCUGGUGCGGGGCCUGAAAGCCUGGCCCUCGCCUCAAGGUGGGACUGUCUGGGCUGUCACUGAUGCCCCAGAGCUCCCGAGGGAUCCUUUGCCUGGCUUCUUCCCGUCGUCCCCGUCCUGUUUCCCCACUCUCUUCCCGCCUGUCCCAGACUGCUACCUUCCUAAUAAAUGGCUUGUACAGAAAUCCUUGCCUCAGGCUCUGCCUAUGAGGAGCCUGACCACACGCAUUCUCUGUGUGGAGAGACCCCCCAGGACCUCUUUUUGUUCCAUGGGACCUAACAGGAG